rnacentral:rRNA from 1 species
GCAAUGUGGUGUUAAAGUUUCAACCUGGAUGCGCUAGUCUACUCGAAGUCCAAUUCCGAUUACGGCUUUGGAUUUAUACCUUAGAGGGUGAAAGGCCCGUUCGAGUAGACAUUACUGUUUUUUAGCGUGCCCCAGAUGUUGUUACUUUCGAGUCGGAUUGCUUGAGAAUGCAGUCCAAAGUGGGUGGUAAACUCCAUCCAAGGCUAAAUACUGGCACGAGUCCGAUAGUAGACAAGUACCGUGAGGGAAAGUUGAAAAGUACUCUGAAGAGAGAGUAAAUAGUACGUGAAGCUGCCUGCAAGGAAGCUGGUGGAGUCAAGCUUCUUAGGUUUGGAUUUGGUACAGAGAUAUUUUAUUGUUUACUGGCCAGUAGUGUAUCGGCUUGAAAAUGGCUGGGUAGAUUUUUCUACCUCAGGUGUUCCGGGCUGUACGCUUGUUGUGCAUUCUAUAUAUGGCCUUUUCUCUUGUACUGUAUCCUUGCCUUAACAUCACAGUCAAUGUGUAUGCAUUGUAUGAUAGUCUAACUGUGGCCUCUGUGAACUUGUGUUUACUGGCCAUGGAAUGGCAGGUAUAAAUAUAUAGAUCUCGGUCUAUAUGUUUCUUAUUAUGGUUUAAACACUUGCUGAUUAUCAUUUGUAUUAUAUAAUUAAUCAUACACAUUUUUCUUAUAUCACUAGUAAUCGUUAGAUUGCUAUGAUGAGAGCU